rnacentral:rRNA from 1 species
GAUGAACGCUGGCGGCGUGCCUAAUACAUGCAAGUCGAGCGAACGGACGAGAAGCUUGCUUCUCUGAUGUUAGCGGCGGACGGGUGAGUAACACGUGGAUAACCUACCUAUAAGACUGGGAUAACUUCGGGAAACCGGAGCUAAUACCGGAUAAUAUUUUGAACCGCAUGGUUCAAUAGUGAAAGACGGUCUUGCUGUCACUUAUAGAUGGAUCCGCGCUGCAUUAGCUAGUUGGUAAGGUAACGGCUUACCAAGGCAACGAUGCAUAGCCGACCUGAGAGGGUGAUCGGCCACACUGGAACUGAGACACGGUCCAGACUCCUACGGGAGGCAGCAGUAGGGAAUCUUCCGCAAUGGGCGAAAGCCUGACGGAUCAACGCCGCGUGAGUGAUGAAGGUCUUCGGAUCGUAAAACUCUGUUAUUAGGGAAGAACAUAUGUGUAAGUAACUGUGCACAUCUUGACGGUACCUAAUCAGAAAGCCACGGCUAACUACGUG